UGAGGAACAUGACCUUCGGCGGGGGAUAGCCGGCCCAACGGCCGGGUAAUACCGCGUACGACCACAUGGGGACAUCCCUGAGUGGUGAAAGCAGCAAUGCGCCGAUGGAGUGCCUCGCGGCCUAUCAGCUAGUUGGUGAGGUAACGGCUCACCAAGGCAACGACGGGUAGCUGGUCUGAGAGGAUGGCCAGCCACAUUGGGACUGAGACACGGUCCAGACCUCUACGGGAG
rnacentral:rRNA from 1 species